rnacentral:ncRNA from 1 species
AACCGCCGUAUACGGAACCGUACGUACGGUGGUGUGAGAGGUUGGUAGCUGAAAUAAUCAGCUACCUCCUACUCGAU